GAUGAACGCUGGCGGCGUGCCUAAUACAUGCAAGUCGAGCGAACAGACGAGGAGCUUGCUCCUCUGACGUUAGCCGCGGACGGGUGAGUAACGCGUGGAUACCCUACCUAUAAGACUGGGAUAACUUGGGGAAACCGGCGCUAAUACCGGAUAAUAUAUUGAACCGUAUGGUUCAAUAGUGAAUGACGGUUUUGCUGUCACUUAUAGAUGGAUCCGCGCCGCAUUAGCUAGUUGGUAAGCUAACAGCUUACCAAGGCAACGAGGCGUAUACGACGGGCGAGGGUGAUAGGCCGCAUGAGAGGUGGGACGGGGACAAGGCGACUACGGGAGGGAGCAGAAGGCAACCGGCCGCAGUGGGCGAGAGCCUGACGGAGCAACGCGGCGUGAGAUACGAAGGCGCCCGGAGCGGAAAACUCGGUUAUUAGUUAAGAACAAAUGUGUAAGGAGCCAUGCACGUCUUGACGGUACUGAAUCAGAAAGCCACGGCUAACUACGUG
rnacentral:rRNA from 1 species